UUCUAACUAGGAAUUCAUCCAUGAAGGUGAUUCCAGCAAGAAAACUAAACCGCACAGGUAUGAUGAUCGAGACAGAAAGCGCAAAUACUUUUCUGUCAAUACUACAUGACUUAUGACAAAUGACAUCUGAAAAGCGGUAUGCAGUGGUAGGCUUCAAUGAUCGUAGUGUGGGUAUCAUCUCCACAACCUGGAUUGAAAAAUCUGAUGAUGAAAAAAUAUUGUGCUGGUGGCCACAGAGCAGGCAUACAGUUAGUGCCCAAAAGCA